CUGCCCUCUUCCAUUGUUGUUUUGGUUGUUGGCAUUCGUGGUUGCGCGUCUGCGGUGUCCUUAAAGUGGAUCCUCAGCCAUCCGUAAUCGAUGAUUUCGUUUUCGGAUUGGACGAUCGAUCGAUCGUUGAUUUCGUUUUCGGAUUGGAUGAUCUGUUUCCGAUAGGUGGUGCAUCCAAAUCCCCAGCCAUCCCUUAAUCGUUGAUUUCGUUUACGAAUUGGAUGUUCUGUUCUCGGCACUUGAAACUGAUCUACCUUAUGCGGGGUGUAUCAAAAGCCUUCUGUUCAUGUGGCUUUCGUUUUCGGGGACUUGGACAUUGGUCUUGAGCGAAUCGGGUGAUCUAUUUUCAAUCGCUGCGGAUCGGAAGCGUUUGAUAUCUGUUGUUUUCGUUUUCUGAACGAAUUGGAUGAUCUAUUUUUUUCCCAUAGGAAUAUUGAGAGGCUAGGAGUUCCGAUUAUUGGAAUCCGACUAGUGGAUUAUUCUUUAACCGCUCUUUUUUUUUUUCUUGCGAUCUAUCAGAGGGCUUCACAAUUUUGCCGGAUUAAGGCUAUUUGCGACAGAUUUUAUAUGUACUUUCGAAGCGGUAGGUGAGGCUGUGGUGUUUGUGUGGGUAUUAUCUUAAUGGAACCCUCGCGGAGUCUGUGAGGCAAUUUGUGAAGGUUGCUCUGGUAUGCGUUGCACGAUUAAAUAUUUUUUCCAUUAGAUAGUGUUCUAUUUAAGGGGUUUCCUUACUGUAAUGAACGCUGCUUAUUAUCAUGGAUGCAGGUUUUCCGAAAUGAUCUAAACAAGGGAUGUGUCCUUUUUGAUCUGGUUUAGUUGGCCUUCGUUACUUUCAACUUUUAUUUGUUGCAUUUAUGUCCACCAGUUGGUUAUGUUUGUUUGUUUUUAUUUUUUGUGUGCAAGGGAAAGCUUCUGGAUAUGAUAUUUGAAAGAGAGAUGUGUGUGUUUUGCUACCAUGCUAUGAUAUUUGGUUUGAGAUAUACGCUAACGGUAUCAGCAUCAAUUCUGUGUCUUUUGGAUACUCUAGUUGGAUUUAGACGGGUAUCAGGGAAGAGUUCCAUCAUCUUCUCAUUUUUUGAGGUUGCCUGUUAAAUUGUUGAUUAUUUUUCCUGUCCUCUUUCUGUCAGCAUUUUAUAUAUAUUGAAGUUAAGUCUAUCUCUUUGUUUUCUGAAUGUUUUAUUCCUAGUGUUUUUGUGGGCAGUUGCCGAAGCAUCAUCGUUAGGCAUGAUUCUAUUAAAUAGAGAUGGUAACUCACCUUUGUUGGAUUGUUUUUGGUAUGAGACGUAGGAUUUUACAUUUUUGAUAAGGUUAGUUUCUGUGGCAGAUUCUAUAUGUGUCAUCGACCCCGUUGUUGGGGCUCUGGUGUUUUUGUGGUUAUUAUCUGUAUGGAGCCACACGUAGCUGUGAUGCAGUUUGUAAAGGAUGCUCCAAUUAAGGAUGCUCUGGUUUUUGUUGAAUGAUUUAAAUAGGUUUUCCAUUAGAUAGUGUUAUAUUUAAGGGGUUUCAUUGUUGUGACAUACGUCGCUUAUUACGAUGGAUCCAGGGCUUCCGAAAUUAUCUGAACAGUGGAUAUGUCUGGUUUGUGCUGGUUUAGUCAGCCCUUGUUACUUUCAAACAUUAAUUGUUGCCCUUACGUGCACAAGUUGGUCAUUUGAUACGGUUCUCAUCAAAGUAUGGUUGGUUGUUUUUAUUUGUUGUCUGCUAGGGGAAGCUGAUGGACAUCUAGUUUUGCAUGAGCAUGGGACAUUUUUUUGAAAGUGAGAUGAUUUAAAUUGGGUAUAUGGAAGGUUAUUUUGUUUGCUUAUUUGGUUUAUUACAUCCAGUUGUAUUCUUGGCUGCUCUUUCCAGAUGAAAUUUGGAUUUUCUGUCCUGGUUUUCUACAAUUAGUUAUGACGUUUGGUAGCAGGAUUUUAUUUUGGAGUUAAUACAUUUCUAAAUUGGGUUAAUUACAUCCUUUGGUGUUCUUGGCUGGUUGUAUUAGAGGAAGUCAGAUAAUUUUGUUGAAUAACUUGAAUUCUGUGGUCAUUAUUUCCAUUGGCAUCAUUGCUGUUCAUUUAUUGCCAAAAUGCAGUCCAACAGUGCAAAGUUGUUACAUUUGAAAGGUCAUUAUUUUCAUCGACUUUUUGAUCCUUUGGCUUAUAAAAGUUCUCUGCUGCGUUUCUCUUCCUUUUAAUUAACUUCCAUUUCUCUUUUGAAUCAUGUUUCCUUUAUCUUGUGUGGAAGCUAGGACGUGGUAAUGAUUUUACGUACAGGUACCUGUGCUAUUAAGGUGUCUUUGUUGGUGAUCUUGGGUUAUGAUAAUUGUACUUGAUUGUUAUAUCGAUUUUUGAAUCAAUUCAAUGGCACAAUUGAUGGCUUCAAAAACAAGUGGGUUUUAAGAUGCAUUGUUACUUUUUUCUUGUAUCAAGUUGGAGGGAGGUACAGACAUGCUGUGUUCUCUUGUUUUUCCUUGAAAUUCAUUUUAUAUUGCUGAUUUUUAUGAGAAGUUAUCUUCUCAGGCUGAUGUACUUUUUGCUGCUCAUUUUAUGUGAUGUUUGUCUACUUGAAGCUUGUUUUGGGAGCUGGGUUUCAUGUUAAGAAAGUUGGGUUUCUCUUCAGUAUAGAGCCUUCAUAUUGUAAACAAAGGAGUCCAAUUUUCAUCAAGGAAUAUUCUUGUGGGAACCCAAUUGCUAAUUGAAUAUAUUUCCUUUAUGAAGAUUUUUCAACCAUAGCUGAUACAAACAAGUUUACAAGAUUGUUGUUUUGGUUUGCAUGAUGAAGAGAAUAGAAGUUCUACCUGUACUCCUGGUGAUGUGAACAAUGUAGUUGGAACAUCUUCGGAAAGCCUAGCAUGAUUAAACAGAAAUUCAUGGGAAAGAUUUUAUUGGCUUUAACUGGUUUUCCCAGGAUUAACAUUAGAUUGAAAAGCUUGGAACUGACAUUUGAAUUGAUCCACUAGUACCUGUUGCUAUUCCCCAUGAUGUUUGCAAGUUUUGGUUCGAUUUUGUUCUUUUCCUGUGUGUACAUGUUUAUAUGGUUCAAAGAACUCUGGAAGGUUGUGUUUGGUUGAAAGGGGGCGGUGCAUUUGGGUCUUAGAUUUGUAUGUCUUGGGUUUUCUCUUGAGCAGGAGUCUUUGACAAGGCAUAUCUUUGAUGAGGCAUAUCUGCCAUGUUCAUGUAGUUUUGUUUGCUCAAAACUUGCUUUUUUGCGACUUGCAAUUGUAUGGACCCUUUUUCUGAUAUAUUGUUAUGCUUCCAUGCUUUAACAUUAAUGUUUUUUAGUUGGCAUCUGUGUGUAUUCUUGGAUUUUUCAUGACUAAAUGACUGUUCAUCACCAAUUUUUGAGUGUUUGUCAUGAGGGGAAUUUGUCCUUAGUUUUCUUCGUUGGUGAGGUGUUUAUGAAUCUUAAUUUUGUUUAUUAGGAAUUUUGGAGUAUCUAAUUUUGGUUGUAUUUAUUUAUUGAAUUGUGAAUUUUUGUAUUACAUUAUUGUUUCAUGAUUAUCUUCUAUAUUGUUUGUUGAUAUUUCAAAACUAUUCCAGUAGUCUAUAUUUUUUUAGUAAUUUGCUAGGUUUAGAUAGUAAGCUGAGUUGGAAAAUGAUACGUGGAAGGUGUUCAUAAUUGUCUUCAGGUAACAAUAAAAUAUUAUUUAGUAAAAAAUAUAACUAUUGGGAAAUAAGCAUAUGAGAUUGUUUGCAAGCAUGUUUGGAAACAUGUGAAGACAAAAUUUGAAGCUUGAAGAAUAUGAGAAAAGGGUUAUAUAGCUAUCUUGAAAUUAAAGAGCAUGUGUUUUUUUAUCCCUUGUGAAUUUGCUUGGACUGUUUAUGAGGAUGUUAUGAUACUUGUGAGACUUUUUACUUGGUGUUGCAUCUUUGAAUUAUUUUAGAGCUUAUUCAGUAUGGUGACAAUUCCUGUUCAAUUAUGUUUGUUUUUUUUAAUUAUUACACUUUCCAUGCUUUUACGACUAAUUUACUGUGUUGAAUGUAUUUCCUGUUCAAUCGUGUUUGGUAUUUUCUUUGACUACAUUUUCCAAGCUACUAUGAUUAUUAGAUUACAUUUUCUUUGACUACAUUUUCUUUGUCGAUAUAUUUAGCUACUAUGCAAUUUGGUUAUUAGUAAUUUGAUUUUGUUGUUCGUAUAGGUUGUAGCAUAUUUUGCAAUUAGUAUGAGAUUUGCAUUGAUUAUCGUUUAUCAAACAGAUGGGUUUGCUGUUUAGAAUUUAAAAUUAAAUACAAAAACGAACAAGAAUAGAAGUAAGACUGGUAAAUUGGACAUUGCAAUAACCACUUUACUAUCAUUGUUGUUUUCCAAGCUUAGCUAAGAAGACUAUAAAGUUGGAUAUUAUGUGAUUUGUAGUUGCAUUGGAUGUUUUUUAUGGUCAGAAGUUCAUUGCUGGAUAGGUAUUCUCCAGGGAGGUUGAUCAACUUCUCCUUUUGUCAACAUUUGGUGAUUGCAUUGGACUUCUACUUUACUGCUUGAUUGUUUUAUCUAAUUCUAUUUAUGUAUUCACAUUUUUCUUCUUCUCUUUUUUCCCUAAUUGUCUUUAUUUUUUCUGGUGGUUGGUAAAUUUUCUAUUGUUAAUCAUAAAUUCUAUAAUGGUAUUCAAUUGGCAAAUAUGUUGGGCAUAUGAUAGCUGUUGGCUUGAGAAUUAUGGGCAUUAUCUUUUUCCAUGUGAUAGCUGUUGGCUUUGUAGUUAUCUAUUGGUUCAUUUUGUGAGAAGUCUGCUUCUUGUUUUGCUGUUCUGUUGUGACAUUCCAGAAGCAUUGUUCCAUCACCUGGUGCAGUCUGGUUUUGCAUAUAUAAGAGAUAUGAUGACAUCUAUCUUGACUCUCUCCAGAUAGAUUAUAAAGCCUGGUGACUGAUACAUCUGCUUAUUUUCUACAUAAUACACCUGGUCUCUUUAUGUAUUCAUUUGUUGUCUUUCAGAUCUUCUGAACAUUGAUCUCCUCCUUGAUUUUUUUGUUGUGUGGCAUCCAAUAGCUUUUUUGUUUCUGAAAUUUUGGGGUGUCUUAGCUUCUGAACCUUAAUUUUGGGUUUUUAAUGUGAUCUUUCAUGAUCAUGGGGUCAUCAAAAUGUCUGUUUUUGUUGGAACUUUCUGUGAUAUACUGAUAAUGAAAUUGGUACAUUCUCUGUUCUAAUGAGUUCAUUACAUCCAUUGUUAUUUUUCACUUGGCUAUUGAAGAGCCUAUUGUUUUUAUGUCCUGGUUUUGGUGUUUUAGUUUUGGUUAAUUUUUCAGAAUUUCCUUUUUUUUUCCUCUUGACAUUGCAUUGGGUGGUACAAAUUAUUUUGUGCUUCAUCUUUGUGAACCAUUGGUAUCAUAAUUUCUGUGGUCUCUUUCCCUUUAUUCAGCUUUUGCUUUUCUUUUCUUUGAGACACAUGCCUGUUUCUCUUAUUCUAUGCUUCAUUUAUUGUUCAAGAAGCUAGGAUGGGGCUAACAGUGAAUGCAGUGAACCUUUGGUUGGUGAUCUCGAGCAAUAAUGGUAUGUAAUUUUGACAGUCUGUUAAAUAUUCACCAAUAGGGUCACUCAGCGAACUGGGUUUUCAAUUCUAUUAUAUUUUGUAGUUGCAGCAAUCUGUAAGUCAUUAUAUUUUGGUUUCUGAAAUUUUGGGAUGUCUUAGUUUCUGAAUCUUGAUUAUGGGGUUUAAUGCCAUCCAUCAUGAUGAGCAUGGGCACUUUUAUAUACAAACUAGGUCAUCAAAAUGUCUGAUUGUAGGAAUAGAUCAUAAAAGUGUCAAAGAACCUAUAGAUUAAUUUUCACAAUAUCCUUUUUUUUCUUUGAAAUAGAUUUUAGUUGUACAUUGACUUCAAUUCUAUAUCACAAUUUUUGUUGUUACUUUAUGGACAUUGUAUUGGGUGGUACAAAUUAUGUUGCACUUCAUCAUUGUGAAUCAUUGGUACUAAAUCUCUCCGUUGCUCUCUUUCCACUUAUUCAGCUUUUGCUCGUCUCUUUUUCUAAACAUGUGCUUGAUUCUCUUCUAUGCUUUAUCUAUUGUUCAGAAGUUAGGAUGAGGCUAACAGUGAAUGUGGUAAACCUUUGGUUGGUGAUCUUGACUAAUAAUGUAUGCUUUUGUUGUAGAUGCGGGAUGACCAAAACUACCUCUUUCCAAUGUUUCUUCAAUUUGGAGUUAUGAUAGUAUAAUAUUGGUUGGUUGGUGGUUGCUUAACGUUGAUUGUUUGUAAUUUCUUUUGUAGGACUUUAAUGUUAUGUUUAGCAUUGUUACAAAUGCUUCAAUUUGGAGUGGAUAUUUUUGUCUAGUUGUGUAAUAAUUUAGAAAUUUGUGUCUUCACAUUGAUUGUCUAAAUGGAUAAGAGGGGGUGGGCAUUGCUGUAGAUAAUGCAUGCGAGUGGACGAUCGUAAUGUGCUGCUUGUGAACGUGAAUGCUUGGUGUCGUGGGUUUCUGUUAUAAUUUGAGAUUAUUAUUGGUUGCAUUUGUGUUUGUUUUGACAUAAUUUUUAGGUUUAUUGCUUGACAUUGCCAUUGCAUGUUUCAAGCCUGGAUGAGAAAACGUGGAGGGGGCAAUAGCUGAUCGGUACCUCUCUGUUGUAAACAAUCCAAA